GCCACCUUAGCUUAGUGGUAAAGCGCCAGUCUUGUAAACUGGAGAUCAUGGGUUCGAUCCCCAUAGGAGGCU
rnacentral:tRNA from 1 species